rnacentral:rRNA from 1 species
UUGGUUGUAGCUGGCCCUCCGGGGCAUGUGCACGCCUUCUCUUUCAUCCACACACACCUGUGAACUCGUGAGACGGGAGGAAAGCCCCCUCGGGGGGGUGGUGGCCCCGUCUGCUAUAUUAUAAACUCAUAUAUUGUAAAACGAAUGUACACGAUGUAAACACAUCUUUAAACUAAGUUUCAACAACGGAUCUCUUGGCUCUCGCAUCGAUGAAGAACGCAGCGAAAUGCGAUAAGUAAUGUGAAUUGCAGAAUUCAGUGAAUCAUCGAAUCUUUGAACGCACCUUGCGCUCCUUGGUAUUCCUCGGAGCAUGCCUGUUUGAGUAUCAUGAAAUCCUCAAAGCAAUACCUUUUGUUCAUUCGAUCGGUUUUGUUUUGGACUUGGAGGUCUGCAGAUUCACGUCUGCUCCUCUUAAAUAUAUUAGCUGGAUCUCAGUGAGCUCGGUUCCACUCGGCGUGAUAAGUAUCACUCGCUGAGGACACUUGUAAAAAGGUGGCCGGGAUUGCAGAUGAACCGCUUCUAACGGUCUAUUAGCUUAGACAAUUUACUCUUAUGAUUUGAUCUCAAAUCAGGUAGGACUACCCGCUGAACUUAAGCAUAUCAAUAAGGCGGAGGAA